GAUGAACGCUGGCGGCGUGCCUAAUACAUGCAAGUCGAACGGGGAGUAGCAAUACUCUUAGUGGCGAACGGGUGAGUAACGCGUUGGUACCUGCCCCGAAGCGGGGGAUAACGGACCGAAAGGUCCGCUAAUACCCCAUGUGCUCGGUAACGAGUAAAGGUGAAAACCACUUUGGGAGGGGCCUGCGUCCCAUCAGCUAGUUGGUAAGGUAACGGCUUACCAAGGCGAUGACGGGUAGGGGACCUGAGAGGGUGGCCCCCCACAAUGGAACUGAAACACGGUCCAUACACCUACGGGGGGCAGCAGUAGGGAAUAUUGGUAAUGGGCGCAAGACUGAACCAGCAACGCCGCGUGUGCGAUGACGGCCUUCGGGUUGUAAAGCACUUUUGACUGGGACGAGGAAGGACGGUACCGGUCGAAUCAGCCUCGGCUAACUACGUG
rnacentral:rRNA from 1 species